rnacentral:rRNA from 1 species
GACGAACGCUGGCGGCGUGCUUAACACAUGCAAGUCGAGCGGUAGGGCCCUUUCGGGGGUACACGAGCGGCGAACGGGUGAGUAACACGUGGGUGACCUGCCCUCAGCUCUGGGAUAAGCCUGGGAAACUGGGUCUAAUACUGGAUAUGACUCCACGGUGCAUGUCGUGGGGUGGAAAGCCUUGUGCGGCUGAGGAUGGGCCCGCGGCCUAUCAGCUUGUUGGUGGGGUGANGGCCUACCAAGGCGACGACGGGUAGCCGGCCUGAGAGGGCGACCGGCCACACUGGGACUGAGAUACGGCCCAGACUCCUACGGGAGGCAGCAGUGGGGAAUAUUGGACAAUGGGCGAAAGCCUGAUCCAGCGACGCCGCGUGGGUGAAGAAGGCCUGCGGGUUGUAAAGCCCUUUCGGUGGGGAAGAAAAGCCUCGAGUUAACACCUCGGGGUCUUGACGUAACCCAUUAAAGAAGCACCGGCUAACUCUGUGCCAGCAGCCGCGGUAAC